rnacentral:rRNA from 1 species
GGGUUGUGAGGUUAAGCGACUAAGCGUACACGGUGGAUGCCCUGGCAGUCAGAGGCGAUGAAGGACGUGCUAAUCUGCGAUAAGCGCCGGUAAGGUGAUAUGAACCGUUAUAACCGGCGAUUUCCGAAUGGGGAAACCCAGUGUGAUUCGUCACACUAUCAUUAACUGAAUCCAUAGGUUAAUGAGGCGAACCGGGGGAACUGAAACAUCUAAGUACCCCGAGGAAAAGAAAUCAACCGAGAUUCCCCCAGUAGCGGCGAGCGAACGGGGAGGAGCCCAGAGCCUGAAUCAGCAUGUGUGUUAGUGGAAGCGUCUGGAAAGGCGCGCGAUACAGGGUGACAGCCCCGUACACAAAAGCGCAUGUGUUGUGAGCUCGAUGAGUAGGGCGGGACACGUGGUAUCCUGUCUGAAUAUGGGGGGACCAUCCUCCAAGGCUAAAUACUCCUGACUGACCGAUAGUGAACCAGUACCGUGAGG